CCUAACUCUUAUCCUCUCCGAAUCUACUCUUUUGCAAGUUCUAAACCCUAGAAUAUCUUCUCUUAUAUAAGCGUUUGAGAUGGAGAGAGUAACCCAUCAAAAAGUCUUAAUUUCCUUCCUCAAAGACGUCAAUAGCACAUUCAGAGAGUUUGAGAGCGUAAGAAUUGAAGAAUGAAGACUGCUGCUGAAGUUUGAAGUCUUUUAUUUUUAUUUUGGUUUUGGUUCGUAUUUUUAUUUUGGUUUUGGUUCGUAUUUUUAUUUUGGUUUUGGUGUUCUCUUUGAGCUUUAGUUCGUUUUCAGUUGAAGUGUGUUCUGCUUGGUUUGUUAUGAACAAGUUCAUUUUAUUUUGAAGUUUAAUAAAGGCUCUCACGUUUGGAGUA